rnacentral:rRNA from 1 species
UACGGGGGGGGGUAAGCGUUGUUCGGAAUUACUGGGCGUAAAGGGCUCGUAGGCGGCCAACUAAGUCAGACGUGAAAUCCCUCGAGUCUAACUGGGGAACUGCGUCUGAUACUGGAUGGCUUGGAUUCGGGAGAGGAAUGCGGAAUUCCAGGUGUAGCGGUGAAAUGCGUAGAUAUCUGGAGGAACACCGGUGGCGAAGGCGGCAUUCUGGACCGACAUUGACGCUGAGGAGCGAAAGCCAGGGGAGCAAACGGG